UGCAAGUCGAGCGGUAACAGGGGUAGCUUGCUACCCGCUGACGAGCGGCGGACGGGUGAGUAAUGCAUAGGAAUCUGCCCGGUAGUGGGGGAUAACCUGGGGAAACCCAGGCUAAUACCGCAUACGUCCUACGGGAGAAAGGGGGCUCCGGCUCCCGCUAUUGGAUGAGCCUAUGUCGGAUUAGCUAGUUGGUGAGGUAAUGGCUCACCAAGGCGACGAUCCGUAGCUGGUCUGAGAGGAUGAUCAGCCACAUCGGGACUGAGACACGGCCCGAACUCCUACGGGAGGCAGCAGUGGGGAAUAUUGGACAAUGGGGGCAACCCUGAUCCAGCCAUGCCGCGUGUGUGAAGAAGGCCCUCGGGUUGUAAAGCACUUUCAGCGAGGAAGAACGCCUAGUGGUUAAUACCCAUUAGGAAAGACAUCACUCGCAGAAGAAGCACCGGCUAACUCCGUGCCAGCAGCCGCGGUAAUACGGAGGGUGCAAGCGUUAAUCGGAAUUACUGGGCGUAAAGCGCGCGUAGGUGGCUUGAUAAGCCGGUUGUGAAAGCCCCGGGCUCAACCUGGGAACGGCAUCCGGAACUGUCAGGCUAGAGUACAGGAGAGGAAGGUAGAAUUCCCGGUGUAGCGGUGAAAUGCGUAGAGAUCGGGAGGAAUACCAGUGGCGAAGGCGGCCUUCUGGACUGAUACUGACACUGAGGUGCGAAAGCGUGGGUAGCAAACAGGAUUAGAUACCCUGGUAGUCCACGCCGUAAACGAUGUCGACCAGCCGUUGGGUGCCUAGAGCACUUUGUGGCGAAGUUAACGCGAUAAGUCGACCGCCUGGGGAGUACGGCCGCAAGGUUAAAACUCAAAUGAAUUGACGGGGGCCCGCACAAGCGGUGGAGCAUGUGGUUUAAUUCGAUGCAACGCGAA
rnacentral:rRNA from 1 species